rnacentral:rRNA from 1 species
AUUGAACGCUGGCGGCAGGCCUAACACAUGCAAGUCGAGCGGAUGAAGGGAGCUUGCUCCUGGAUUCAGCGGCGGACGGGUGAGUAAUGCCUAGGAAUCUGCCUUGUAGUGGGGGAUAACGUCCGGAAACGGGCGCUAAUACCGCAUACGUCCUGAGGGAGAAAGUGGGGGAUCUUUGGACCUCACGCUAUCAGAUGAGACUAGGUCGGAUUAGCUAGUUGGUGGGGUAAAGGCCUACCAAGGCGACGAUCCGUAACUGGUCUGAGAGGAUGAUCAGUCACACUGGAACUGAGACACGGUCCAGACUCCUACGGGAGGCAGCAGUGGGGAAUAUUGGACAAUGGGCGAAAGCCUGAUCCAGCCAUGCCGCGUGUGUGAAGAAGGUCUUCGGAUUGUAAGGCACUUUAAGUUGGGAGGAAGGGCAGUAAGUUAAUACCUUGCUGUUUUGACGUUACCAACAGAAUAAGCACCGGCUAACUUCGUG